CUGCGAUAAGCGCCGGUAAGGUGAUAUGAACCGUUAUAACCGGCGAUACCCGAAUGGGGAAACCCAGUGUGACUCGUCACACUAUCAUUAACUGAAUCCAUAGGUUAAUGAGGCGAACCGGGGGAACUGAAACAUCUAAGUACCCCGAGGAAAAGAAAUCAACCGAGAUUCCCCCAGUAGCGGCGAGCGAACGGGGAGGAGCCCAGAGCCUGAAUCAGCAUGUGUGUUAGUGGAAGCGUCUGGAAAGGCGCGCGAUACAGGGUGACAGCCCCGUACACAAAAGCGCAUGUGCUGUGAGCUCGAUGAGUAGGGCGGGACACGUGGUAUCCUGUCUGAAUAUGGGGGGACCAUCCUCCAAGGCUAAAUACUCCUGACUGACCGAUAGUGAACCAGUACCGUGAGGGAAAGGCGAAAAGAACCCCGGCGAGGGGAGUGAAAAAGAACCUGAAACCGUGUACGUACAAGCAGUGGGAGCACAGGUUU
rnacentral:rRNA from 1 species